AGAGUUUGAUCCUGGCUCAGAACGAACGCUGGCGGCGCGUCUUAAGCAUGCAAGUCGAACGGCAAGGCAGGUGCUUGCACCUGCCCUAGAGUGGCGGACUGGUGAGUAACACGUGGGUGACAUGCCUUUUAGUUGGGGAUAGCUACUAGAAAUAGUAGAUAAUACCGAAUGUGAUCAAUAUUUAUAGAUGAUGUUGAGGAAAGGAGCUAAGGCUUCGCUAAAAGAUUGGCCCGCGGCCCAUUAGCUAGUUGGUAAGGUAAAGGCUUACCAAGGCGAUGAUGGGUAUCCGGCCUGAGAGGGUGAUCGGACACAUUGGGACUGAGAUACGGCCCAGACUCCUACGGGAGGCAGCAGCUAAGAAUAUUCCACAAUGGACGAAAGUCUGAUGGAGCGACGCCGCGUGGAUGAUGAAGGCCGAAAGGUUGUAAAAUCCUUUUACACUGGAGGAAUAAGCAGAGUAGGGAAUGACUCUGUGAUGACUGUACAGUUUGAAUAAGCAACGGCUAAUUACGUGCCAGCAGCCGCGGUAACACGUAAGUUGCGAGCGUUGUUCGGAAUUAUUGGGCGUAAAGGGCAUGUAGGCGGAUUUGCAAGCUUGAUGUGAAAUCCCGCAGCUUAACUGCGGAACUGCAUUGAGAACUGCAAGACUAGAGUUACUGAGGGGAAACUAGAAUUCCAAGUGUAGGGGUGAAAUCUGUAGAUAUUUGGAAGAAUACCAAUGGCGAAGGCAAGUUUCUGGCAGAUAACUGACGCUGAGGUGCGAAGGUGCGGGGAGCAAACAGGAUUAGAUACCCUGGUAGUCCGCACUAUAAACGAUGUACUCUUGUGUUGGGGCCGGGGGUCUCAGCCCCCAAGCUAACGGAUAAAGGGUUCCCCCUCGGGGAGUGCGCCCGCACGGUGGGAACUUCAAAAGGAAAUGACGGGGGGCCCGCACCAACCAGUGGAGCAUGUGGUUUAAUUUGAUGAUACGCGAGGGAACCUUACCUGGGUUGGACAUAUACUGGAAUGUUAUAGAGAUAUAGCAGCGUAGCAAUACACCGGUAUACAGGUGCUGCAUGGCUGUCGUCAGCUCGUGCCGUGAGGUGUUGGGUUAAGUCCCGCAACGAGCGCAACCCCUACUGCCAGUUACUAACAGGUUAUGCUGAGGACUCUGGCGGAACUGCCGGUGACAAACCGGAGGAAGGUGGGGAUGACGUCAAGUCAUCAUGGCCCUUAUGUCCAGGGCUACACACGUGCUACAAUGGCCGGCACAGAGCGAUGCAACACCGCGAGGUUAUAGCAAAGCGCAAAAAACCGGCCGUAGUUCGGAUUGAAGUCUGAAACUCGACUUCAUGAAGGUGGAAUCGCUAGUAAUCGCGCAUCAGCACGGCGCGGUGAAUACGUUCCCGGGCCUUGUACACACCGCCCG
rnacentral:rRNA from 1 species